rnacentral:rRNA from 1 species
CCUACGGGAGGCAGCAGUAGGGAAUCUUUCACAAUGGGCGAAAGCCUGAUGGAGCAACGCCGCGUGCAGGAUGAAGGCCUUCGGGUUGUAAACUGCUUUUAUAAGCGAGAAAUAUGAUGGUAACUUAUGAAUAAGGAUCGGCUAACUACGGGCCAGCAGCCGCGGUCAUACGUAGGAUCCGAGCAUUAUCCGGAGUGACUGGGUGUAAAGAGUUGCGUAGGUGGCAUAAUAAGUAGCUAGUGAAAUCUGGUGGCUCAACCAUUCAGACUAUUAGCUAAACUGUUAAGCUCGAGACCGUUAGGGGUAACUGGAAUUUCUAGUGUAGGAGUGAAAUCCGUAGAUAUUAGAAGGAACACCAAUAGCGUAGGCAGGUUGCUGGGACGGUUCUGACACUAAGGCACGAAAGCGUAGGGAGCAAACGGGAUUAGAUACCCGUGUAGUC